UAUCAGCAAAGGUCGUUUCUCUGAACCGUGACCUGUUUCUGUUUCCAGAUGCAACCCAAUCUGCUGAAUAUUUACGAUCUUUCACAAUUACCUUGGACGUUCAAUGUUGUUCCAUUUCCCAGGAAGUAUUUCCAGGGCCGAGGUUUCUCUCUAAGAACCACGCAUCGGUAAGUGUCCGAAUCAUUCAGCAUCAGCUCCCGGAUAAUGAGAAAACUCUCAGACAUAGACACGGACACACGGGGGCUGUUUUUCACGAAGAUCCUGGAUAUGUUGCUGUUCAAAUCAGGAGCGUCUCUUGCCCGACACCAAUAAUAUUUCACAAAAUCAGCCAGCUCCUCCCCCGGUAUCAGGCUACAGUAGAUCCGAGCCGUCUGUCCUCUCAGGAGGGAGAGAACUGGAGGAGACUCAAUCACUUCCAGAGGGACAACAGGCCCUGGAACAUAACAAGGCAACAAAUGGGACCAUUAGCUCCACGGAAUCCAAGUCUAACUGUAAUGACUUCUAGCUGGAAUCAAAGUGAAUCCUUACCUAAGACCAAGAGCCAGAGCCUGAGAACUGCGCCCAUGUUACUGAGGAUGACGCUGCCUCACGGGUUACUUGGAAAUAUUGGUUAUCAUGCGGGAAAUUCAAGUCGCAGCGAGAUUGAUGCGGGUGUAGCGAGCACUGUGUCACACCACAUUGACUGCUGCUCACCACCGACCGGUACUCGGGGACCAGCUCAAUUUUGGGGAUGUUUGUAAAAGGGCAUUCUGGUGCGGAUACGGCUCUUUAAACAUGAGUGUUCUGUAUGUAGGAUCCCUUCAAAAUCUACGAAAUGCUCCACAAUACCAUCAACCAUGAUUUUAAAAAAACAUUGCAUUGGCAAACUAAAGGGAAACCACUGUUCUCCCAAUAUAAAUCAUUUAUAUUAGCGUUCAUCAAAAUAAGCAUAAGCUAAUAAAUGAAGAAUGUUGAUGAGAUUCGCCCACCUGAGCUUAAAAACAUGGUGUGAGCAUCAUGUAAUUGGUUUAAUUAAAGUAUGUUAUAACUGUUGAUGGAGGGGAUUAAGUCAAGAGUUAACUUGCUAACGCCUCUAACAACAAGUAGCUUGAAGAAUACAAACUGCUGAAAAAGCAGAACUGUGGUGAAACAGGAAGAUCCUGCAAACGAACAGCACGACAACUCCGAUAAAGGAAGUGGAGCGUUAGACCGAAGCUGUGGAGGCAACGUCUGAUGAUUUGGUCGGUAAAAAGAAGUUCAAAAGGUUCCAAUGUGUCACAUUCUAACAGAGCAGUCUGGCUGCAUCUGUGAAGACGGAAGCACGGUAAACCUUUCGACUCCAAUAAAGAAAGGCUCAUAGUAGACUCGAAUCGUGAAUCGAGGUUCUCCGGCAGUUUCUGCUUUUCGUCUCGGAUAAUAGUGAUAAUAAGAACUGCAGAUGCUGGAGAAUCCGAGAUAACAAGGUGUGGAGCUGGAUGUACACAGCAGGCCGAGCAGCAUCAGAGGAGCGGGAAAGCUGACGUUUCGGGCCUAGACCCUUCUUCAGAAAUUGGUAUUAUGGGCAGAGAGAAAGACAGGAAGGCAGCGCAAUGAUCCUUUUUGAAGGACUUCCUGAGAUGAUCCUACUCCUGAUCAGAGCACUGCUUCCUCAUCUUCCUUCUUCUGGUUUUCUCACUUGUUUGCAGGAGGCACAGGGCAACUGUUUGACACUAAUAAAGGUCUCUGACUUAUUAUUUAAAGCUUAAAGUAACUGAUGGGAGAACUAAGCUGUCUACUUUUAGGCUUGAGAUGCAUUUUUUUUUCAGCAGAGCAAAAAACAAUUCCUUCACUUCCUCGUGAUACUCCACCUGGUUAGCUCCUUUACUUCCAGAUGUUUUAUGGCUUCUAUCCAAACAUUCACACCUCCCAACUGUUAGACUAUCUGGGAGCCAAUGACAAAAUGUUGGCAAGCAGAAGGUAUUUGUCAUCAAUAACUGGCUAAUCUGCUACAUGUUUCUGGUCAAAUCUCCAUUCGUCACACAUUGUUGUCACUAACUUGUCUACAACUUGACUUUCCCCCACAAUCUGAACCAACAGUUCCUUAAACAGCACUUACAAUAAGUUUCAAAUUAAUUGGUUUUAAAAUAUGUAGCGAUCUUUUGAAAAUUCUUGGCUUUUCAACCUUGCAGUCCAAGAUCAAAAACACAGAAACAUUAAAAAAAUGGUCUUUACAGUCUACAUUGCAUGCCUAAAAUGGAAACAAUUGGGGCAGGCCAAAAAAGUGCUUGCGAUCUAUUCACGCUUAUUGAUGAAAGAUGACUUUGCCAAUGAAGGUGAACGAAGCUUUGGGAUAAUGUGAAGGUUAAACGAAUGGAAGCACUAGAAAGAGUACUAACCUGGGAAAUUUACCCAAAAACUGGUGCCAAAGAAGUAGAAAAUUGAUCGUUACUUGGACUAAUAAAGUUGAACCAGGCUGGAUUUCUAAAGGACAAAUUGUGCAUGAUUGCCUUGAUGGAGUUUUUUUUUGAUGAGGCAACAAGGAGAAUUGAUGAAGGUAUUGCAAUAAAUGUUGUGUACGUGUACUUCCAGAAGUUUUUUGAUAAGGUACAAAAUUUGGAUUAUUAGCAAAAUUGAAGCAUGUAGGAUAAAAGGCAAAACAAAUGGAACAGAUUAUGAUAAAUUGUUUUUUACACAC